UAAAGUAGAUAUUGGCACCAAAUCACUAUUGUCAGCAUCAACACUUCCAGCCAGAUUGUCUGUUGAACUGUAAUCAACUUGUUUGGACUCUAAGGAAGGGGAUACUUGCACCAAUUCAUUUAUUGUGGCAUCAGCACUGCCAGUCAGGUUGUCUGUUGCACUAUAAUCAACUUGCUCAGACUCUAAAGAAAUCGACAUUGGCACCAAUUCACUAUCAUUAGUAUCAACACUGCCAGCCAGAUCGUCUGUUGCACUAUAAUCAACUUGUUUUGACUCUAAAGAUGUGGAUACUGACACUAAUUCACUAUUUUCAGCAUCGACACAGCCAGCCAUAUCAUUUGUUUCGCUAUCAUUAGCUUGUCCGGACUCUAAAGAAAAGGAUUCUGGCACCAAUUCACUUCUUGCAAUAUCAAGACUGCCAGUCAGGUUGUCUGUUGCACUAUAAUCGACUUGUUCAGACUCCAAGGAAGUGGACAAUGGCACAACUCCAUUCAUGUCAGGAUCGACACUGCCAGUCUCAUUGGCUGUUGCACUAUAAUCAACUUGUUCAGAGUCUGAAGAAGUGGAUACCGGCACAAAUUCAGUUAUGUCAGCAUCAACACUGCCAGUAAGAUUGUCGGUUGCACUAUAACCAACUUCUUCAGACUCUAAGGUAGUGGAUACUGGCACCAAAUCACUCAUUUCAGCAUCGACGCUGCCAGUCAGAUUGUCUGUUGCACUAUAACCAACUUGUUCAGACUCUAAGGUAGUGGAUACUGGCACCAAAUCACUCAUUUCAGCACCGACACUGCCAGUCAGAUUUUCUGUUGCACUAUAACCAACUUGUUCAGACUCUAAGGUAGUGGAUACUGGCACCAAAUCACUCAUUUCAGCAUCGGCACUGCCAGUCAGAUUGUCUGUUGCACUAUAACCAACUUGUUCAGACUCUAAGGUAGUGGAUACUGGCACCAAAUCACUCAUUUCAACAUCGACACUGCCAAUCAAAUUGUCUGUUUCAAUAUAACCAACUUGUUCAGACUCUAUGGUAGUGGAUACUGGCAUCGAUUCACUCAUGUCAGCAUCGAAACUGCCAGUCAAAUU
rnacentral:lncRNA from 1 species